UGGAUGAGCUCACUGAAGAUAUAAUGUCACUUGAUAUUAGUGGAGAAUCAAAUGCUUCAAACUCAAUGAACACUUCUAAGGUUUGAAUUGUUGGAAUUAAAGAUCUAAGAGGAGAACCAUGGCAACUUGGAAACUUUGAACUUGUUUUUAAUGGAUAUAUUGAAUUAUUUAAGUCUUUUGUGAUUUGCCGUUUAUGGAUUUUUGUUUUAAACUUGUUAAGUAUUCAGUAUUUUGUGGAUUAUUUAAGCUGUUUGU
rnacentral:lncRNA from 1 species